rnacentral:rRNA from 1 species
AUGGAGGAGUGGGUCUUUCUCGGCGAGAGCGGCAGCGACGCCGAGACCGUGUGCUCCGUGGACGACAAGGGCAGCGAGACGGACUUUGCCUUGGUGCAGCUCCGCCGAAGCCGUGCCGCGGAGAGCCGUGCCAAGGCUGACGGCGGCAAGAACCAAGACGAGGAGGGGAGCGACGACGACGAUGGCGAUUACUUCGACCUCAACCUCCCGGCCCUCGCAGGUAGCAAGGCCGUCUUCGGCGCCAACGGAGAUUGCUUCGAUUUCGAUCUGGCGGCUAGCAUCCUAAGCAUGGGCAGCGUUGGGUACGACAGCGGGUUCCACGGUGCCGACGCCGAGGACGACAUUGACACGGUGAGCCUUGGCGCGCCGGACGGCGACGGCGACGGCACCGUGCACCCAGAGCGCGUCCUCUGUGCCCACUGCGCCAAGAUCGUCACGGAUCAGAGCUCCGACGCGGCGAAGCUGGUCAAGUACGACGACAUCGACACUGGCAGCUCUGACGAGGAGCUCUCAGACGAGGAUGACACCGAUCAGAGCUCCGACAUGACCGAGUUGGUCAAGUACGACGACAUUGAUAUUGAUACUGGCAGCUCUGACUCAUCGGAGACCGACUACGGCGAUGACGACGAGCUCUCAGACGAGGAUGACACCGACGGCUCUGUCUGGGCAGAGUUGGUCAAGUACGACGACAUUGACACCGGCAGCUCUGACUCGUCGGAGAGCGACCACGACGGCAACGAUGAACUGUCGGACGAGGAUAACGCCGAUGGCAAUGUCGCUCCGCAGCAGCGCCGCUUGACAGCCAUAACAACGUCGCGGCCCCCUAGUGCGCCCCACCUCUUCUUCACCCAACGGAGCCGAUCGACUUACAAGAGCACCGACGCGGAGGAGGGCGACGACCAAAACACCCAGAAUUCCUCCGACGCGGCGGAAGACGACGACAACUAUGAAACCGAGAGCUACUCUGCCAAGGGUGACAAUGGCGACGAUCACACCAAGACCUCUUACACGUCGUUGGCUCACCGGGAUGAGGUUAUCUCAGGGUUCGUCAGUGCAAUGAUGACUAGAGCAGAUGCGCUGGCGCGGUUCGACGCGGUGGAAUCGGCGUUGCAGCUCCCGCAAUACAAUCUGAGCAGAUCCGACAUCAACGCCUGGAAGGCCGCCCUCGCCAAGGGGAGGGCGGAAAUUGCCGCCCGGCCGCGGCCGCCCGUCGCGCCCCACCUCUUCUUCACCCAGCCGAGCCGAUCGACCUAG